GAGUUUGAUCCUGGCUCAGGAUGAACGCUAGCGGCAGGCUUAACACAUGCAAGUCGAGGGGUACAUAGAAAAGCUUGCUUUUCUGAUGACGACCGGCGCACGGGGUGCGUAACGCGUAUACAAUCUGCCUUAUACUGGGGUAUAGCCUUUAGAAAUGAAGAUUAACCCCCCAUAGUCUCUUUAAAUGGCAUCAUUUUUAGAGUAAAGGUUACGGUAUAAGAUGAGUAUGCGUUCUAUUAGUUUGUUGGUGAGGUAACGGCUCACCAAGACUGCGAUAGAUAGGGGCCCUGAGAGGGGGAUCCCCCACACUGGUACUGAGACACGGACCAGACUCCUACGGAGGCAGCAGUGAGGAAUAUUGGACAAUGGAGGCAACUCUGAUCCAGACAUGCCGCGUGCAGGAAGACUGCCCUAUGGGUUGUAAACUGCUUUUAUACAGGAAGAAACCUUGGUACGUGUACCAAGCUGACGGUACUGUAAGAAUAAGGAUCGGCUAACUCCGUGCCAGCAGCCGCGGUAAUACGGAGGAUCCAAGCGUUAUCCGGAAUCAUUGGGUUUAAAGGGUCCGUAGGUGGAUAAUUAAGUCAGGGGUGAAAUCUUGCAGCUCAACUGUAAAAUUGCCUUUGAUACUGGUUAUCUUGAGUCAUUAUGAAGUAGUUAGAAUAUGUAGUGUAGCGGUGAAAUGCAUAGAUAUUACAUAGAAUACCAAUUGCGAAGGCAGAUUACUAAUAAUGUACUGACACUGAUGGACGAAAGCGUGGGUAGCGAACAGGAUUAGAUACCCUGGUAGUCCACGCCGUAAACGACGGUUACUAGCUGUGUGGACUUCGGUCUGCGUGGCUAAGCGAAAGUGAUAAGUAACCCACCUGGGGAGUACGUUCGCAAGAAUGAGACUCAAAGGAAUUGACGGGGGCCCGCACAAGCGGUGGAGCAUGUGGUUUAAUUCGAUGAUACGCGAGGAACCUUACCAGGGCUUAAAUGUAAGUUGCAUUAGCUAGAGAUAGCUAUUUCUUCGGACCUCUUACAAGGUGCUGCAUGGUUGUCGUCAGCUCGUGCCGUGAGGUGUCAGGUUAAGUCCUAUAACGAGCGCAACCCCUGUUGUUAGUUGCCAGCGAGUCAUGUCGGGAACUCUAACAAGACUGCCGGUGCAAACCGUGAGGAAGGUGGGGAUGACGUCAAAUCAUCACGGCCCUUACGUCCUGGGCUACACACGUGCUACAAUGGUCGGUACAGAGAGCAGCCACUGCGCGAGCAGGAGCGAAUCUAUAAAACCGAUCACAGUUCGGAUCGGAGUCUGCAACUCGACUCCGUGAAGCUGGAAUCGCUAGUAAUCGGAUAUCAGCCAUGAUCCGGUGAAUACGUUCCCGGGCCUUGUACUCACCGCCCGUC
rnacentral:rRNA from 1 species